UACGUAGGAGGCAAGCGUUUGUCCGGAAUCACUGGGCGUAAAGCGCGUGUAGGUGGAAGAGGAAGUCUGCUGUGAAAGCGCCUGGCUUAACCGGGCGAGGUCGGUGGAAACUCCUCAUCUGGAGGGCGGUAGAGGGGGGUGGAAUUCCGGGUGUAGUGGUGAAAUGCGUAGAGAUCCGGAGGAACACCUGUGGCGAAGGCGGCCCCCUGGGCCGCACCUGACGCUGAGACGCGAAAGCGUGGGGAGCAAACAGG
rnacentral:rRNA from 1 species